UACAGAGGUCUCAAGCGUUGUUCGGAUUCAUUGGGCGUAAAGGGUGCGUAGGCGGCGCGGUAAGUCGGAUGUGAAAUCUCGGAGCUUAACUCCGAAACUGCAUUCGAUACUGCCGUGCUUGAGGACUGGAGAGGAGACUGGAAUUUACGGUGUAGCGGUGAAAUGCGCAGAUAUCGGGAAGAACACCCGUGGCGAAGGCGGCUCUCUGGGACGGUACUGACGCUGAGACGCGAAAGCGUGGGGAGCGAACAGG
rnacentral:rRNA from 1 species